ensembl:lncRNA
UUUUUUUCCCUGUGAAGUGUAAAGCUUUUUUCUAUGUAUAAGCAAUCAACUACAAUGUGAUUAAGAUCUAGGAUUUCCUGCACUUAAAGACAACUGAUAAAUUGAAAUGACAUGGUUCUGUUGACAGUUUAUUGCUGAAGUAAUCCAAAUACCUUUUUAGUUUUUGUUACUGUCAAAUUAAUUUGUUUAAAAUGAGCCAGGAGAGAACUCUGAGGGAAGACAGAUAUUCUAUUAUAUUUUCCUUCUUUUUUAGUCCAUGACUUCAGGCUGCUGCAUCUCUUCAAACUUCAAACUAAAACACAGAUGUGAAAUAAGGCCUUCCACACUACAUGUAAAUGCAAGUACAAACAAUCAAGACAGUAUCUUUAUUAUUUUGGUUUUUAAAGAUACAGUUCAUACAUGCUUAAAACUUAAACAGAGGAGGUUCAGGUUGGAUAUAAGGAAGUUCUUUACUGUGAGGGUGGUGAGGCACUGGAACAGGUUGCUCCAUCCCUGGCAGUGUUCAAGGCCAGGCUGGAUGGGGCCUUGGGCAACAUGGUCCAGUGUGAGGUGUCCCUGCCCGUUGCAGGGGAGUUGGAACUAGACUGUCCUUUCCAGCCCUAACCAUUCUAUGAUUCCAUGAUUCUAUGAGAUGAAUGCUACAACAGAAAUGCAAGGGUUGCUUCUGCUAUUAUAUGAACUGUACAGUACUCUACUUGAUGAAUUUAUCUUUAAAAUAAUUUUUGAUUUGUCAUAAAGAACAAUGUUAGAAUCUUUCUUGAAAUUAGUGCCUAGUUUUCUUAAUUACAGCAAUUUUUUCCUACCAAUAUGAAUAAAACCUUUCUUUGUCACAAGCAUGAAAUGAAAUACUGCUGUAUUUGUGGUUAUGUGAGAACUUCAGUACCAUCCUGGAUUAUUUCUUUGUCCUAACUCAAACAGAAGAAAACAGAGAAUAAAACUGUGAUACAGACAAUGAGAUUGAUCCAGGAGAGUGAAAAUAAUACCAAAUACUUUGUAAAGAAGCCUGAGAUACCAAAGGAACAUUUUGCAGGUGCUGGUUUUCCACAAAACAAACAAACAAACAAAAAAACCCAAACAAAAACCCAAACAAACAAAACCAACCAAAUAAACAACAAAAAAAACCCCAACAAAAACCAACAAAAAAAAAUUUAGAGGUCAUAAGGCCCGCACAGAGUUAAAGAUACUCCAUAGAGGAGGAUGUAUAGAAAUAUACUGGUAAGAAAUUGGCAGCAGCAUUUCUGAAAGAGAAAGGUGGCCUAAAAGCAUACUGGUAGAGCACAGCCUGCUUUGGCCUACGCACAUUGGAAAGUAGACAAGUUUACUUUUGAACACGUUUUCAUGGGAAGACUGAAUAUUACAUAAGGAAAUAGGUAUAAGCUUUAUGGUACAAACUUUUCUAUCUGGUUCCUAUAGACCUGCUGAAUAUGUGAAUAAUGCUUUGCUUUGAAGACACUGUUUUUCAAACAUUUGGUUCAGCCCACCCUUAAGCUCCUUUAACACAGUUAGUCUGCUGGCUAUCAUAAGCUGAAAAUAACUGUAGACCAGAUAUCCCAUCUGAGAGCAUUUAGAUCACCAAGUUUUUGAAGGUUAUAUAUGGAUAUGUCAAGUAGUUCAUGAUUGAUGUAGAAGUGUCAUGAAUACAUGCUAAUAUUCAGAAAUACAUAUAUGCAAGAUAGAAUAAUAAAGACGGAGCUUUAAAUUAAUGUAGUAGGGUAACAGAUUUUGGAAAUCUUGCUGGGAUAUUAAAUGGAUUACGUGAACACGAAUCCUAGCUCUGAGAGUGUGGUCUUCAAACGUCACAGCUAUUAAGCCAUUACUGCCCAGUCUGGGCAAGGGCUGAGUACCAUUUGUCAUGAGGCUAAUAGGCUUGGACUCUGCUCAGCAUGUCAAGGAAAGUGACUUUGUACCUGACAGGAGAGGUCUGUAUUGUUUAAGAACAUAAAAAUAUGCUUUAAAGCUAGGCUUGCUUCGGGUUAAAGGAUUAUAUAACUGUUUCUAACUUACAUAUUGAAAUCCAUUUCUUGAACAAGAAGUUUCCAUUGUACAAACAUACCUGGUUUGCAUUGGUAUGUAUACAACUUAAUGGGACUAGUAGUUGCUGACUUUAACAAUGCCAGUAAUUUUUAGCACUCAGCAGUAUAAGGAAAGAAUGAACUGUAGAUUUUAAAUAAACACAUUUACCAUUGCUGCUACUUGAAAAUGACCUACUGUGACAUCAGAAAAGUACCCAUGAAAUAUUUACAGAAAAACUCUAAGAGUAGCUAACAGUAGAUGGUAUAUAGCAAGAUCUAAGACAAUCCUGAAUGGGAUCCAACAUGAAUAAAAGACAUUACUUCCUAACUUGCAUCAUUAAAGGUAAGCAUGAAGACUAUUCUUCAUCGGCAUUUUUUGUCUUGUUCAAUCUAAAUAUUUGUCAUUUAACAAUUAACUCCUUUAUAAUACUAUCAAACUCUUGACCUCAAUUUAAAAUACAAUACAAAAUACUUUGAAAAUUAAUGUCAAGAAAAAUUCACUCUGAUAUUCCAAUCAUUUCAAUAGGUAUCAAUAACUAGGAAGAGUAGACUUACUCUCUACAUGACUCGAUCCACUGAGAAUAAUCAGAUCUUAUGUUUACUAUGGAACCUUUUCAGUUGCAACCUUAUGCCUUCAUUGAUACAAGUAAAAUUAUGAGGGCCUCCAAAAUUACUCUGACAAUAAGCAACAGAUGAAAAUGUGUAAGAGAUAACAGCAUGUUUGAGAACAGAUCAAAUGUGUACAUGAAGCACUUCCUCAAGUCCUGUAUUACAAGACUUACCAGAAAACAAUACAUAUCCAAGUUAAAACAGUAUAUUGAGCUUGGCAAAGGGAAGCGUUUUAACUGUUUGCGGCUUAAAGAUAUGGAGAACACAGUGGCUGCAGCAAUAUCAGGAACAUUUGAGUGAGCAUGUGUACUUUCACUCCAAAGUUGCAUGUCCGUUUAAGUACUAUUCAGUCUGGAAGAGUAAUGCAGGUAUUUCUGGUUUAUCCUACAUGUGGAAACCUACAUUAGCAACAUUCUGAAGAACAAAUUUGAAUUAGUGGUUCAUGGUUGUGACACCAUUAUAAGAUUCUAAAAAAAAAAAAAAAGAAAAA